GAUGAACGCUAGCGGCAGGCUUAAUACAUGCAAGUCGAGGGGCAGCAUGAUUGUAGCAAUACAAUUGAUGGCGACCGGCAAACGGGUGCGGAACACGUACACAACCUCCCAAUAAGUGGGGAAUAGCCCAGAGAAAUUUGGAUUAAUACCCCGUAACAUAACGAUGUGGCAUCACAUUGUUAUUAUAGAUUUUUCGCUUAUUGAUGGGUGUGCGGCUGAUUAGAUAGUUGGCGGGGUAACGGCCCACCAAGUCUACGAUCAGUAGCUGAUGUGAGAGCAUGAUCAGCCACACGGGCACUGAGACACGGUCCAGACUCCUACGGGAGGCAGCAGUGGGGAAUAUUGCACAAUGGGGGAAACCCUGAUGCAGCCAUGCCGCGUGUGUGAAGAAGGCCUUCGGGUUGUAAAGCACUUUCAGCGAGGAGGAAAGGUUGAUGCCUAAUACGUAUCAACUGUGACGUUACUCGCAGAAGAAGCACCGGCUAACUACGUGCCAGCCGCCGCCGUAAGAC
rnacentral:rRNA from 1 species